AGGUUCUUUCGUUCUUUCUUCUUUCCGUUCUUUACGUUGUUGUUUUUGAACUGUCACCUAAUUUUCUGUUCUAUGUUUCUGUCUCUGUGGAGGUUCUUUCCGCUCUUUCCGUUCUGUCCGUUCUUUCGGUUCUUUUGUUGUUUUUGAACUGUGACCUAAUUUUCUGCCCUAUGUUUCUGUCUCUGUGGAGGUUCUUUCGGUUCUUUCCGUUCUUUUUGUUGUUUUUGAACUGUCACCUAAUUUUCUGCCCUAUGUUUCUGUGUUUGUGGAGGUUCUUUCCGUUCUUUCCGUUCUUUCUGUUGUUGUUUUUGAACUGUCACCUAAUUUUCUGCCCUAUGUUUCUGUCUCUGUGGAGGUUCUUUCCGUUCUUUCCGUUGUUGGUCUUGACCUGUCACCUAAUUUUCUGCCCUAUGUUUCUGUCUCUGUGGAGGUUCUUUCCAUUCUUUCCGUUCUUUCUGUUGUUGUUUUUGAACUGUCACCUAAUUUUCUGCCCUAUGUUUCUGUCUCUGUGGAGGUUCUUUCCGUUCUUUCCGUUCUUUCCGUUCUUCCGUUCUUUCCGUUGUUGUUUUGAACUAUCACCUAUUUUCUGCCUAUGUUUCUGUCUCUGUGGAGGUUCUUUCCGUUCUUUCCGUUCUUUCCGUUCUUUUGUUGUUUUUGAACUGUCACCUAAUUUCUGCCCUAUGUUUCUGUCUCUGUGGAGGUUCUUUCCGUUCUUUCCGUUCUUUCCGUUCUUUCCGUUCUUUCCGUUCUUUUUGUUAUUUUUGAACUAUCACCUAAUUUUCUGCCCUAUGUUUCUGUCUCUGCGGAGGUUCUUUCCGUUCUUUCCGUUCUUUUUGUUGUUUUUGAACUGUCACCUGAAUUUUCUGCCCUAUGUUUCUGUCUCUGCGGAGGUUCUUUCCGUUCUUUCCGUUCUUUCUGUUGUUGUUUUUGAACUGUCACCAAAUUUUCUGCCCUAUGUUUCUGUCUCUGUGGAGGUUCUUUCCGUUCUUUCCGUUCUUUCUGUUGUUGUUUUUGAACUGUCACCAAAUUUUCUGCCCUAUGUUUCUGUCUUGUGGAGGUUCUUUCCGUUCUUUCCGUUCUUUCGGUUCUUUCGGUUCUUUCCGUUCUUUCCGUUCUUUUUGUUGUUUUUGACCUCUCACCUAAUUGUCUGCCCUAUGUUUCUGUCUCUGUGGAAGUUCUUUCCGUUCUUUCCGUUCUUUUUGUUGUUUUUGAACUGUCACCUAAUUUUCUGCCCUAUGUUUCUGUCUCUGUGGAGGUUCUUUGCGUUCUUUGCGUUCUUUGCGUUCUUUGCGUUCUUUGCGUUCUUUGCGUUCUUUGCGUUCUUUGCGUUCUUUGCGUUCUUUGCGUUCUUUGCGUUCUUUGCGUUCUUUGCGUUGUUGUUUUUGAACUGUCACCUAAUUUUCUGCCCUAUGUUUCUGUCUCUGUGGUGGUUCUUUCCGUUCUUUCCGUUCUUUCCGUUCUUUCCGUUGUUGUUUUUCAACUGUCACCUAAUUUUCUGCCCUAUGUUUCUGUCUCUGUGGAAGUUCUUUCUGUUCUUUCCGAACUGUCACCAAAUUUUCUGCCCUAUGUUUCUGUCUCUGUGGAGGUUCUUUCCGUUCUUUCCGUUCUUUCCGUUCUUUCCGUUCUUUUUGUUAUUUUUGACCUGUCACCUAAUUUUCUGCCCUAUGCUUCUGUCUCUGUGGAGGUUCUUUCCGUUCUUUCUGUUGUUGUUUUUGAACUGUCACCAAAUUUUCUGCCCUAUGUUUCUGUCUCUGUGGAGGUUCUUUCCGUUCCUCCGUUCUUUCCGUUCUUUCCGUUCUUUCUGUUGAUGUUUUUGAACUGUCACCUAAUUUUCUGCCCUAUGUUUCUGUCUCUGUGGAGGUUCUUUCCGUUCUUUCCGUUCUUUCUGUUGUUGUUUUUGAACUGUCACCUAAUUUUCUGUUCUAUGUUUCUGUCUCUGUGGAGGUUCUUUCCGUUCUUUCCGUUCUUUCCGUUCUUUCCGUUCUUUCCGUUCUUUCCGUUGUUGUUUUUGAACUGUCACCUAAUUUUCUGUUCUAUGUUUCUGUCUCUGUGGAGGUUCUUUCCGUUCUUUCCGUUCUGUCCGUUCUUUGGGUUCUUUUUGUUGUUUUUGAACUGUGAUCUAAUUUUCUGCACUAUGUUUCUGUCUUUGUGGAGGUUCUUAUCGUUCUUUCCGUUCUUUUUGUUGUUUUUGAACUGUCACCAAAUUUUCUGCCCUAUGUUUCUGUCUCUGCGGAGGUUCUUUCCGUUCUUUCCGUUCUUUUUGUUGUUUUUGAACUGUCACCUAAUUUUCUGCCCUAUGUUUCUGUCUCUGUGGAGGUUCUUUCCGUUCUUUCCGUUCUUUCUGUUGUUGUUUUUGAACUGUCACCAAAUUUUCUGCCCUAUGUUUCUGUCUCUGUGGAGGUUCUUUCCGUUCUUUCUGUUCUUUCUGUUGUUGUUUUUGACUGUCACCUAAUUUUCUGCCCUAUGUUUCUGUCUCUGUGGAGGUUCUUUCCGUUCUUUCCGUUCUUUUUGUUAUUUUUGAACUGUCACCAAUUUUUGCCUAUGUUUCUGUCUCUGUGGAGGUUCUUUCCGUUCUUUCCGUUCUUCCGUUCUUUCCGUUGUUGUUUUUGAACUGUCACCUAUUUUCUGUCUAUGUUUCUGUCUCUGUGGAGGUUCUUUCCGU
rnacentral:lncRNA from 7 species